UACGAAGGGGGCUAGCGUUGUUCGGAAUUACUGGGCGUAAAGCGCACGUAGGCGGACUAUUAAGUCAGUGGUGAAAUCUCCGGGCUUAACCCGGAAACUGCCAUUGAUACUAUUAGUCUUGAAUACCGUGGAGGUCAGCGGAAUAUGUCAUGUAGCGGUGAAAUGCUUAGAUAUGACGCAGAACACCAAUUGCGAAGGCAGCUUGCUGCACUACUAUUGACACUGAGGCACGAAAGCGUGGGGAUCAAACAGG
rnacentral:rRNA from 1 species